rnacentral:rRNA from 1 species
AUCGCGCCCAGAGUAGUUUGGCGACCCUCAGCCAGGCGUGGUCCGGGAUUGGAAAUCCAAGGACCGCAAUGUGCGUUCGAAAUGUCGAUGUUCAUGUGUCCUGCAGUUCACA